GUGGCUGUGUUGUUGGGUACCAUGUUAUCCUGCCAUGUUCAUCAUGUUUGAGUUCUUGUAAUAAUGGUCAUUUUUGGAUGUUUCAUUCCAACGUCACAUAUCCCUUGGAAAGACUUGAUUCAACAGGUACUGAUCAGGCAUUUAUGUUCAAGACAACAGCAUAAAUAGUCAUAUUUUUUUAAAUGCUCACCUGCAGUUCAAUGCAGUACCUUCCAGAACGAACGUCACUUUGGCUAUGGAGCCUCGUUUUCGUGUAUGUGACAUUACUUAAAGCCUAA
rnacentral:lncRNA from 1 species